rnacentral:rRNA from 1 species
UCCCGCAACGAGCGCAACCCUUGUCUUUAGUUACCUAUCAUUCAGUUGGGGACGUCUAGAGAGACUGCCGGUGAUAAACCGGAGGAAGGUGGGGAUGACGUCAAAUCAUCAUGCCCCUUAUGACCUGGGCUACACACGUACUACAAUGGCGCAUACAACGAGCUGCGAGAUGGUGACAUCAAGCGAAUCUCUUAAAAUGCGUCUCAGUUCAGAUUGGAGUCUGCAACUCGACUCCAUGAAGUCGGAAUCGCUAGUAAUCGCGGAUCAGCAUGCCGCGGUGAAUACGUUCUCGGGGUUU